rnacentral:rRNA from 1 species
AGGUGGCGCGACGGGUGAGUAGCACGUAGUAUCUGUCCUUUAGGUCUGACACAACCUACGAAGGUAGCUAAUAUCAGAUGAUGCAGCGGCUCGACAUCGAGACAGUUGUUUAAACCUUCGGGGCCUAAAGAUGAGCCUGCGUCUGAUUAGGUAGUUGGCGGAGUAAUAGCCCACCAAGCCUGCGAUCAGUGGCUGGUCUGAGAGGAUGAUCAGCCACACUGGAACUGAGACACGGUCCAGACUCCUACGGGAGGCAGCAGUGAGGAAUAUUGCUCAAUGGCCGAAAGGCUGAAGCAGCAACGCCGCGUGGAGGACGAAAUACUUUUGUAUGUAAACUCCUGUAAGAAGGGAAAAAUAUGCAGUUUUUCUGCAUUGAUUGUACCUUCAGAGUAAGCCCCGGCUAACUACGUG